rnacentral:rRNA from 1 species
UACGUAGGGCGCAAGCGUUGUCCGGAAUUAUUGGGCGUAAAGAGCUCGUAGGCGGUUUGUCGCGUCUGCUGUGAAAACCUAAGGCUCAACCUUGGGCUUGCAGUGGGUACGGGCAGACUAGAGUGCGGUAGGGGUGACUGGAAUUCCUGGUGUAGCGGUGGAAUGCGCAGAUAUCAGGAGGAACACCAAUGGCGAAGGCAGCUCGCUGGGACGGUACUGACG